AUGCUGACUGGCUGCCUCUGUAUGAACUGGAUGAGGUGGCCGUAAAUGUCAUCGAAACCUAUGGCAUCAGCAAGGAAAAGGAUCUGGUGCAGAAGAUGCAGUACCUGAACUGUAUUUGCUCACUGUGCAGCGCUGCUGAACAGAAGGGCUUGACAGUGUACCUGGAUAUCUUCUGCUUCCUAAACAAUGUGACAGAGAACAUUGAGGUGAGGGGACAUGGCACCCAGGUACCCUGUAAGAAGGACAGAGCAGGGGGAGAGGGAGGCAGGGAAAUCAUGCACAGACACCAAAGUUCCCCAGAUGAGACUCCAGGUGCUGCUGAGACCUCAGCAGUGGAGGCAGACAGCAGCACCAGUGUGACAGGGUUUGCUGAGGGCCACUGGGGAGACACAGGCCCUACCGGUCAGUGGCAGGUUUUCUGUUGGUGGGUGCUGGCAGCUGCCAGGUGCCAUCCUGAUUUGAUUGUGCUUUGCAGGUUCUGUUGUGUGAGGAGCCCAGGGAUCAGCUGAACACAGCUCUAAGAUACCACUGCAUGAAUGCGAUUGCUGCAAUGAGCCAAGUGGAAGCAAUUUCGGAGGAAGAACUAUUACAUCUUUUAAAAGCGUGCUGCAGAGUCAUCUUCUGCCUUCCUCCAACCAGGGAAUUGAACAUUUGCCUCUACAACCAUACCCUGGAUGCUAUGGACAACAUGCUGGAGGCUAUGCUGUACCACUGUCCCACCGCCAGUUUCAAUAGUCUGCUGCAGAGAAUCUUUGAGGUGCUGCGGCCCUUCACCAUUUCUGAUAGCAAAACUGUGCGCGACAGGGCCAUGGAGCGGAUCUGGAUGCUUUAUAGUUUCCUGGCCAGCAAUCCCUUGCCGGAGAUGCCUAGAAGAUUACUUGAAGCUCCUCUGACUACAGACAUUGUCUUCAGGACCCUUGAAAAGAUCAGUGCUGACUGCAGCCCUGAGGACAAGGAAUAUGCCAGGAUUCUACUGGAUUUUCUUUUAAAAGACCCUAUCACCUGGCUGACAGAUGUGCCAGAGAUUCUGGUGUUCAUCCAGAGAAAUCUGAAAAACAACAGCACAUCAGAUCAGGCGCCCUUCCUGUCGGUGCUUGAUGUGCUGGCACGCUGCUUUCCCAUGCAUGUGUUAGAAAGCAUAUUGACACAACUACCACACAGUGACAGCGCUACUGUGGAGGUCUGGAAGAUGGUGCUUUCCCUGCCGGAAUCUUCCGAAAAAAUCCUGGAAGGACUGUGCAUAAUUCUCCAGAACAAAAAUUUGCACAGGAUCACCACAAUGGGGUCUGGCCUCCUUCAGCAGACUGUGAGUUACCAGACAGGUCACCGUGCUCUCUCCUUCAGGACACUCUCUUCCCAGCAAGCUGCCUCCCCCUGCCUUGCUCCCUAG
rnacentral:lncRNA from 1 species